GAUGAACGCUGGCGGCGUGCCUAAUACAUGCAAGUCGAGCGAACAGACGAGGAGCUUGCUCCUCUGACGUUAGCGGCGGACGGGUGAGUAACACGUGGAUAACCUACCUAUAAGACUGGGAUAACUUCGGGAAACCGGAGCUAAUACCGGAUAAUAUAUUGAGCCGCAUGGUUCAAUAGUGAAAGACGGUUUUGCUGUCACUUAUAGAUGGAUCCGCGCCGCAUUAGCUAGUUGGUAAGGUAACGGCUUACCAAGGCAACGAUGCGUAGCCGACCUGGGAGGGUGAUCCGCCACACUGGAACUGAGACACGGUCCAGACUCCUACGGGAGGCAGCAGUAGGGAAUCUUCCGCAAUGGGCGAAAGCCUGACGGAGCAACGCCGCGUGAGUGAUGAAGGUCUUCGGAUCGUAAAACUCUGUUAUUAGGGAAGAACAAAUGUGUAAGUAACUAUGCACGUCUUGACGGUACCUAAUCAGAAAGCCACGGCUAACUACGU
rnacentral:rRNA from 1 species